rnacentral:tRNA from 1 species
GGGAGAUGGCUCAGUGUGUGAGAGUGCUUGCUUUGCAAGCAAGAGGACCUGAGUUCAAAUCCCCAACACCCA